rnacentral:rRNA from 1 species
GAUGAACGCUAGCUACAGGCUUAACACAUGCAAGUCGAGGGGCAUCAUGGAGCUUGCUUGCAAACUUUGAUGGCGACCGGCGAAUGGGUGAGUAACACGUAUCCAACCUGCCCGUUACUAGGGGAUAGCCCUCCGAAAGGAGAAUUAAUACCCUAUUUUAUAUAGAUGUUGCCUGGCAUUUAUAUUAAAGAUUUAUCGGUAAUGGAUGGGGAUGCGUCUGAGUAGGUAGUAGGGGAGGUAACGGCUCACCUAGCCGACGAUCGGUGGGGGUUCUGAGAGGAAGGUCCCCCACAUUGGAACUGAGACACGGUCCAAACUCCUACGGGAGGCAGCAGUGAGGAAUAUUGGUCAAUGGGCGGAAGCCUGAACCAGCCAAGUAGCGUGAAGGAAGACUGCCCUAUGGGUUGUAAACUUCUUUUAUACGGGAAUAAAGUCAGCCACGUGUGGUUGUUUGCAUGUACCGUAAGAAAAAGCAUCGGCUAAUUCCGUGCCAGCCGCCGCAGUAAGAC